UUGUAAGUAAUUUAGAGCGUACGGUGGAUGCCUUGGCACCAGGAGCCGAUGAAGGACGUAGGAGGCUGCGAUAAGCCUCGGGGAGCUGUCAACCGAGCUGUGAUCCGAGGGUGUCCGAAUGGGGAAACCCAGCACGAGUGAUGUCGUGUUACCUGCACCUGAAUAUAUAGGGUGUGUGGAGGGAACGUGGGGAAGUGAAACAUCUCAGUACCCACAGGAAGAGAAAACAAUUGUGAUUCCGUGAGUAGUGGCGAGCGAAAGCGGAGGAGGCCAAACUUUGUGCGUGUGAUACCCGGCAGGGGUUGCGUAUGGAGGGUUGUGGGGUUUGCAUGUGAUGGUUCUGCCGGACUGUCCGACAGUGAWAAAUCAUGGUGUUAGUCGAAGUGGUCUGGAACGGCCUGUCGUAGAGGGUGAGAGUCCCGUAGACGAAAACAUUGUGACUGUCGAGUGUGGAUGCCCAAGUAGCAGCGGGCCCGUGAAAUCUGCUGUGAAUCUGUCGGGACCACCCGAUAAGCCUGAAUACUCCCUGGUGACCGAUAGCGGACUAGUACCGUGAGGGAAAGGUGAAAAGUACCCCGGGAGGGGAGUGAAAUAGUACCUGAAACCGUGCGCUUACAAUCCGUCAGAGCCUGCGAAUGUGAAUCUGUCGGGACCACCCGAUAAGCCUGAAUACUCCCUGGUGACCGAUAGCGGACUAGUACCGUGAGGGAAAGGUGAAAAGUACCCCGGGAGGGGAGUGAAAUAGUACCUGAAACCGUGCGCUUACAAUCCGUCAGAGCCUGCGAACAGUUUACUGUUGUGGGUGAUGGCGUGCCUUUUGAAGAAUGAGCCUGCGAGUUAGUGGCAUGUCGCGAGGUUAACCCGUGUGGGGUAGCCGUAGCGAAAGCGAGUCCGAAUAGGGCGUAUCACCUUCGGGUGUGUAGUGGCGUGUUCUAGACCCGAAGCGGAGUGAUCUACCCAUGGCCAGGUUGAAGCGACGGUAAGACGUCGUGGAGGACCGAACCCACUUAGGUUGAAAACUGAGGGGAUGAGUUGUGGGUAGGGGUGAAAGGCCAAUCAAACUCCGUGUGUAGUGGCGUGUUCUAGACCCGAAGCGGAGUGAUCUACCCAUGGCCAGGUUGAAGCGACGGUAAGACGUCGUGGAGGACCGAACCCACUUAGGUUGAAAACUGAGGGGAUGAGUUGUGGGUAGGGGUGAAAGGCCAAUCAAACUCCGUGAUAGCUGGUUCUCCCCGAAAUGCAUUUAGGUGCAGCGUCACGUGUUUCUCGUCGGAGGUAGAGCUACUGGAUGGUCUAGGGGGCUUACCGGCUUACCGAAAUCAGCCAAACUCCGAAUGCCGAUGAGUGAGAGCGUGGCAGUGAGACUGCGGGCGAUAAGGUUCGUAGUCGAGAGGGAAACAGCCCAGAUCGCCAGCUAAGGUCCCUAAGCGUGUACUAAGUGGAAAAGGAUGUGGGGUCGCGAAGACAACCAGGAGGUUGGCUUAGAAGCAGCCACCCUUGAAAGAGUGCGUAAUAGCUCACUGGUCAAGUGAUCCUGCGCCGACAAUGUAGCGGGGCUCAAGUACACCACCGAAGCUGCGGCACUCACACAAUAGCCCGCACUGUUCCCACGGGGAUGGUGCCAGGUGUGUGGGUGGGUAGGGGAGCGUCGUGCAGCCGUGGAAGCGCCGGGGUGACCUAGGUGUGGAGGCUGUGCGAGUGAGAAUGCAGGCAUGAGUAGCGAAAGACGAGUGAGAAACUCGUCCGCCGAAUGACCAAGGGUUCCUGGGCCAGGUUAAUCCGCCCAGGGUGAGUCGGGACCUAAGACGAGGCCGACAGGCGUAGCCGAUGGACAACGGGUUGAUAUUCCCGUACCCGUGUGAACGCGCCCCUGGUGAAUCAGUGAUACUAACCGCCCUGAAUCCCGAUGACGGAUCUCUUUCGAGAGUGAUGCGUUGGGUGGAUGCGUGGGACCUGAUCUGGUAGUAGCCAAGCGAUGGGGUGACGCAGGAAGGUAGCUGAGCCAGUCAGUGGUAAUACUGGUGUAAGCCUGUAGGGCGAACGGUAGGCAAAUCCGCCGUUCAYAUAGCCUGAGAGGUGAUGCGUAGCCGAUUGAGGCGAAUUCAGUGAUCCUAUGCUGCCGAGAAAAGCCUCUAGCGAGCUUUCACACGGCCCGUACCCCAAACCGACACAGGUGGUCAGGUAGAGAAUACUGAGGCGAUCGAGAUAACUAUGGUUAAGGAACUCGGCAAAAUGCCCCCGUAACUUCGGGAGAAGGGGGACCACGCYCGGUGAUCGGACUUGCUCCGUGAGCUGGGUGGGGUCGCAGAGACCAGUGAGAAGCGACUGUUUACUAAAAACACAGGUCCGUGCGAAGUCGUAAGACGAUGUAUACGGACUGACGCCUGCCCGGUGCUGGAAGGUUAAGAGGACCGGUUAACUGCCCUYGUGGUGGUGAAGCUGAGAAUUUAAGCCCCAGUAAACGGCGGUGGUAACUAUAACCAUCCUAAGGUAGCGAAAUUCCUUGUCGGGUAAGUUCCGACCUGCACGAAUGGCGUAACGACUUCUCAGCUGUCUCAACCAUAGACUCGGCGAAAUUGCAUUACGAGUAAAGAUGCUCGUUACGCGCGGCAGGACGAAAAGACCCCGGGACCUUCACUAUAGCUUGGUAUUGGUGUUCGGUUCGGUUUGUGUAGGAUAGGUGGGAGACUGUGAAGCGGUGACGCCAGUUACUGUGGAGUCGUUGUUGAAAUACCACUCUGAUCGUAUUGGAUACCUCAACCUCGGACCAUGAUCUGGUUCAGGGACAGUGCCUGGUGGGUAGUUUAACUGGGGCGGUUGCCUCCCAAAAUGUAACGGAGGCGCCCAAAGGUUCCCUCAGCCUGGUUGGCAAUCAGGUGUCGAGUGCAAGUGCACAAGGGAGCUUGACUGUGAGACUGACAGGUCGAGCAGGGACGAAAGUCGGGACUAGUGAUCCGGCACCGGCAUGUGGAAGCGGUGUCGCUCAACGGAUAAAAGGUACCCCGGGGAUAACAGGCUGAUCUUCCCCAAGAGUCCAUAUCGACGGGAUGGUUUGGCACCUCGAUGUCGGCUCGUCGCAUCCUGGGGCUGGAGUAGGUCCCAAGGGUUGGGCUGUUCGCCCAUUAAAGCGGCACGCGAGCUGGGUUUAGAACGUCGUGAGACAGUUCGGUCUCUAUCCGCCGCGCGCGUCAGAAACUUGAGGAAGGCUGUCCCUAGUACGAGAGGACCGGGACGGACGAACCUCUGGUGUGCCAGUUGUUCCACCAGGAGCACCGCUGGUUAGCUACGUUCGGAAGGGAUAACCGCUGAAAGCAUCUAAGCGGGAAGCCUGUUCCAAGAUGAGGUUUCUCACCCCCUUUGGGGGGGUAAGGCCCCCGGCAGACCACCGGGUUGAUAGGCCAGAACUGGAAGUCGGGUAACCGAUGCAGGUGACUGGUACUAAUAGGCCGAGGACUUACCACA
rfam:Rhodococcus kyotonensis strain KB10 scaffold5.1, whole genome shotgun sequence.